UACGGAGGGGGCUAGCGUUGUUCGGAAUUACUGGGCGUAAAGCGCACGUAGGCGGCUUUGUAAGUUAGAGGUGAAAGCCCAGGGCUUAACCCUGGAAUUGCCUUUAAGACUGCAUCGCUAGAAUCGUGGAGAGGUAAGUGGAAUUCCGAGUGUAGAGGUGAAGUUCGUAGAUAUUCGGAAGAACACCAGUGGCGAAGGCGACGUACUGGACACGUAUUGACGCUGAGGUGCGAAAGCGUGGGGAGCAAACAGG
rnacentral:rRNA from 1 species